UACGGAGGGUGCAAGCGUUAAUCGGAAUUACUGGGCGUAAAGCGUGCGUAGGCGGCUUGCUAAGCCAGAUGUGAAAGCCCUGGGCUUAACCUGGGAACUGCAUUUGGAACUGGUAGGCUAGAGUUGAGUAGAGGAGAGUGGAAUUUCAGGUGUAGCGGUGAAAUGCGUAGAUAUCUGAAGGAACACCAGUGGCGAAGGCGACUCUCUGGACUCAAACUGACGCUGAGGUACGAAAGCGUGGGUAGCAAACAGG
rnacentral:rRNA from 1 species